AACGCGAAGAACCUUACCUACUCUUGACAUCCAGAGAACUUUCCAGAGAUGGAUUGGUGCCUUCGGGAACUCUGAGACAGGUGCUGCAUGGCUGUCGUCAGCUCGUGUUGUGAAAUGUUGGGUUAAGUCCCGCAACGAGCGCAACCCUUAUCCUUUGUUGCCAGCGGUUAGGCCGGGAACUCAAAGGAGACUGCCAGUGAUAAACUGGAGGAAGGUGGGGAUGGCGUCAAGUCAUCAUGGCCCUUACGAGUAGGGCUACACACGUGCUACAAUGGCGCAUACAAAGAGAAGCGACCUCGCGAGAGCAAGCGGACCUCAUAAAGUGCGUCGUAGUCCGGAUUGGAGUCUGCAACUCGACUCCAUGAAGUCGGAAUCGCUAGUAAUCGUAGAUCAGAAUGCUACGGUGAAUACGUUCCCGGGUCUUGUACACACCG
rnacentral:rRNA from 1 species